rnacentral:lncRNA from 1 species
GGGAAGGUCGUGCACAGCUGCGUCGCCUUCAGCCAGCCGGGGACGGCCGCGCCUGCGCCGGUGGAUGAAGGGCCCGAGUUCCAGGGACCCGUGGUGAGCUGAUGACCCCUUCGGGAGGGCGGCGAGGCCGUGCAGGGGUGCUGGCCGGCGGGAAGCCCCUUCUACACCUGUACCCGCUGCAGGUUCCAGGAGAAGGAAGACUCUUGAUUUUUUUCCCAGGCAACGCAACAAUUCUCCCUCGGAUGGUGAGGGAUAUUGGGUUCUUAAGAUCCUUUGUCCAUCCUAGUUGCAAUGUUUUGCUCCCAUAGAAGGAAGUUAUCAUGUGGGGAUUACCAUUGUCCCUAGAGUACAUCUACUCUAGUUGAGUUUCUUAUCAAAGUUCUAUUUUUCUGUAUAUGCCAGACAUAUGUAUAUUAUUAUAAUCUGUCUUAUUCCAAAAGGAAUUUAAAUGAGUUUACAGAGAUAUAUUUGUUCUUUCAGUAAGUAUAUCAGCUACAAAAAAUAUAUAUAAAUUAGUAUACGAGAAGGAAAAAGAAAAAAAAGUAUAAAAAAUGGAGGCAGGAAUGAGACUAAUAGAAAAAGUAAUUUUAAGUAUUCCACCACUAAAUCUAUUUGUUUCCUGAGUUUAGAGAAACAAAAUGUAGGAAUCUGGAUAUUGGAAGAUUGAACAAAUAAUUUAACCAGAUCUCUUUGAUGUGAGCUUAGACAACAAAAAAUCUGAUACUAAGGGAUACCAGUAUGUGCUUACUACUACAGUUGGAUAUUUUGGAAAAAAUUUUUUUAUUGCUGUUGAGAUAAAUGUAAUAUAUAUUCGUUGUGAUAGAUUCAUAUGUAGAAAGAUGCGGGGGAGAGUAAAAGAUACAAGGAAUCCCACUUCGGAGAGAUACUUGUUUUUUUUAAUGGGUUUUGCUAUACAUGCUGAGGUGUAUCCUUUUAUCAGUUUGCCCACAAACUUGAAAGGGAAACACUUUGUAGUCCGGCACAAUAAACACACUCGGAUGUACUCUGGG